rnacentral:lncRNA from 1 species
UCCGGUCCGCCCUAAUUAAGGGCAAAACGGUCUUUACACGUAAAAAAUGGCCAGAAUUUGUGUUUUUUCAAUUAAUGGCCAAAUAUUGUGUUUUCUUCUUCAGAAUGGCUAUAUCACGAGCGCUCUCUAUUGAUAAGGCAUAUAAAUAAAUAUAUCCAUCCAAUAAAUUAUCUAAUAAAAAAGUAAUGAAAUAAUAAAAUUUUUUAAAUAAUAUAUUAUCAAUUAAAAUAACAUUAAUUAUACGUACAACGUACGUUCUUUCUGCUAGUUUUAUUAAAAACCAAGCAAAAAAAAAAACAAAACCCUUGAGAGCACAAAAACGCAGACUAAGGGCCGAGUUUCGUUAAAAUCUAUCUUGGAAAAACCCCAAAGGGGAAAAAUCUAGGAUAGGAAAAAGAGUACUCAUCUAAACCGACCAC